UACGUAGGGGGCAAGCGUUGUCCGGAUUUAUUGGGCGUAAAGAGCGUGUAGGCGGCCUGACAGGUCUGCUGUGAAAACUCGAGGCUCAACCUCGAGAUGUCGGCGGAAACCGUCGGGCUAGAGUCCGGAAGAGGCGAGUGGAAUUCCCGGUGUAGCGGUGAAAUGCGCAGAUAUCGGGAGGAACACCAAUGGCGAAGGCAGCUCGCUGGGACGGUACAGACGCUGAGACGCGAAAGCGUGGGGAGCAAAGAGG
rnacentral:rRNA from 1 species